ACGCUGGCGGCAUGCUUUACACAUGCAAGUCGGACGGCAGCACAGAGAAGCUUGCUUCUUGGGUGGCGAGUGGCGAACGGGUGAGUAAUAUAUCGGAACGUACCGAGUAAUGGGGGAUAACUAAUCGAAAGAUUAGCUAAUACCGCAUAUUCUCUGAGGAGGAAAGCAGGGGACCUUCGGGCCUUGCGUUAUUCGAGCGGCCGAUAUCUGAUUAGCUAGUUGGUGGGGUAAAGGCCUACCAAGGCGACGAUCAGUAGCGGGUCUGAGAGGAUGAUCCGCCACACUGGGACUGAGACACGGCCCAGACUCCUACGGGAGGCAGCAGUGGGGAAUUUUGGACAAUGGGCGCAAGCCUGAUCCAGCCAUGCCGCGUGUCUGAAGAAGGCCUUCGGGUUGUAAAGGACUUUUGUCAGGGAAGAAAAGGCUGUUGCUAAUACCGACAGCUGAUGACGGUACCUGAAGAAUAAGCACCGGCUAACUACGUGCCAGCAGCCGCGGUAAUACGUAGGGUGCGAGCGUUAAUCGGAAUUACUGGGCGUAAAGCGAGCGCAGACGGUUACUUAAGCAGGAUGUGAAAUCCCGGGCUCAACCUGGGAACUGCGUUCUGAACUGGGUGGCUAGAGUGUGUCAGAGGGAGGUAGAAUUCCACGUGUAGCAGUGAAAUGCGUAGAGAUGUGGAGGAAUACCGAUGGCGAAGGCAGCCUCCUGGGAUAACACUGACGUUCAUGCUCGAAAGCGUGGGUAGCAAACAGGAUUAGAUACCCUGGUAGUCCACGCCCUAAACGAUGUCAAUUAGCUGUUGGGCAACUUGAUUGCUUAGUAGCGUAGCUAACGCGUGAAAUUGACCGCCUGGGGAGUACGGUCGCAAGAUUAAAACUCAAACGAAUUGACGGGGACCCGCACAAGCGGUGGAUGAUG
rnacentral:rRNA from 1 species